UAUAUAAAGCUUGGAGAGCCUUUUCUUGGAAUGACUGGUAAAAUCCCACAACACGGACUUCACGGCCGCAAGGAUGAAACCGUUUUUGGUUAAACCUAAACCGUCGCGGCGCAUUCGAAACGGAACAGUACAAUGAACAGGAUUUGCUAUUGCCACCGCAUCUAAUACGAUCGCUCACUCAGAUGAAAAUGCCAACGACAAAUCCAGUAACACGUCAUGUAACACGUCGCACACCACAAAUACGUUGGGAUUACCGAACAAUCAUUUUUCUAUCAGAGCGAUGGCAGGGACAAUUAGACCGAGAGGAAGCCGAGGUCAAGCUUUUCACGACGGCUACAGGUGUUACUAUGCAGGCGGACGCGAAGAGUUCCUCGGGAUUGUCCGUGCGGUUUCUCUCGUUUUUUGCAAAAGAGAACCUUUGUACAGUUAUUGGCAUAAGGUCCCAAAAUUUGGACCCCCGGAUAAAAAAAACUGGUCAGGUAUACCCGGGAUACUACUUCAUACAUCGACUACAAGGAACGGCGAGAACAUGUGGCACAGUUUGUGCGACGUCACUUGAACCCUGCCUUUAAACUGGAUGCAGCAAGAGCAGCGAUUGGAUUACAGGCAGAUCCUACCUCACACGACGCAAGAACGAUGGGUGAGAAGGUUUUCGCUGCAAGAUUGGCGCAUUACCCUACCAGAAACAACUGGUUUCUAACACCAUGGCAGACGACAUCCCGGCCGUAUUUCGCGAAAAAGUUGUAAAGUUGGGAAUGCCAAUGAAAAUGGCUGGGAUAGCCCAUACAGCGAGAGCGACACUUGACACUUGUAAAACCAGAAUGGAGAAAGGAAAUUUCAGAAACCGAUUCGAGUCACAGCUGCAAGAAGGAAUCAAUCGAGUUCGAGAUACUACAGGCAGCCAAUAUAUUGAACCGGUCGAUAACGUCCAUUCUUUCGUUUUUUUCGGACACAUUUUGACACGGAAGGGUACACUCGGCCAGAGCGCGAACAUGCUCCUAAUGAACCAAGAAAACAAGGCGUAAGAAUUCAAAGAACUCGCGAUAAUUACGCUGAUGUAAAACGUAGAUUUGCGGAUGACCCCAAUAAUCGGAGACUACAGUUAGAAGAAAACGAUGCGCGCCAUGCAGUUGACGCCGUUAAGCGUAAUCGACAGGGAAAAGGUCGUGGUCAACGAAAUAUUGAUCCGAAAGAGGUCAUGCAAGUACGACUCGACGGAGCCAGUUGACCGGAACUCGGAUCAGAACCAACCGACUUCUACGAGAAGACGCCCUCAACGAGAUGGCGAGGAUGAGUCGAAUGAGACAACAGAAUAGCGUAGAACGUUAGGAUCACACUAUAUGAAAGGAAAAGUCAAAUUGAGGGAGUAUGCUACGGCGGUGAAGUCGGUAAACUCUCAUUAAAAAGGUUUAAAGUCACAAUUAACUAAAAAAGAGAAAGAAAUCAUGUGGAACAAGUUUUUUGGGGUAAAACUGAUUCGGUAGUUAGCCGGCCCCAAGGGAGUUGUCACGGCAUUCAAGUUGGCUCUCCUAUGAAAUCCAUUCAGUUUCAAAUCUAAACAAGAGAAACUACGGUAAUCAGCCGGAUCUCUUGUUACGAAAGUGGGCCACAAGCGGCGAAAAAGAGUCAAGAAAACAUGUGGAGAAAGUUAUAUUGGGUAAAAUUAAUUCGGUAGUCAGCCGGCCCCAUCAGAGAUGCAACGGUGAGACCCGCCGGCACUCUGGCCGCUCGAGGCGAAUUUGACUUAGAUGUGCGAUAGAAUGACGUUUACUAAAGAGGCAAGCGGAAAAGUGCUUGAAAGCCACAAAAAAUUGGCUAAGUUCCUCCAUAAGAUUUAACGGAAUUGGACUCUCGCGAUGUGCGAGGUCGGGCCAAAUGCGGAUGCGAGACCUAGGGGAUAAUUUGCGCGGUGUGGCCAUAAGAGCACGGCGACUCUGUAAAAAGCAAAAAGUCGCCGACAAAAGGUCAGGGGGGUACAAUUGGAAAUUUGAGAAUAUUUAUGGGAUCGACCUGCAGACACCGCCAAUAUGCGUUUUGAAACAAGGCGCGCCAAGGUAUAACCAUUAUAUGGCGGUCAUCACUAAUUGUAAUCAAAGACAGAAAAAUUUCAUUGUGUUUCUGUAGUAUACUGUACCUAGUAACGUACGAUUCUGUGACUUCGGUUAGGUGUAUAGAG